AUCUAUAAAAGUGACAGAUUUUUGACAGAUUAAAUCUAAAUGUUGCACAAUCAUGUUGACUUCCGCACACACAACUGAUUUCACAUCUUCGUAACUCUCCAGUGUGAUCUCCAGGACUUACAAGCGAGCAGGGUGUGAGCAGUGUUUCCCAUAUAUAAGCUCUAUUUGCGUGGCCUGCCCAGGUAGACAAAGACCCACACAGGUAGAAGAAAUCACUAAGAUGCUGCUCUGCCGCCUGAAUAUGCUUCGUCUCCAACAUCAGAGCCGCUAAGCUGGACGCCCCGUACUGCACAGAAUGAGGAAGAAGAGGAAGAGGAGAGGACAGAGUAUGUCAUCAUGAGAGUUUUAUUGGAAAUCUUGAGGAGAUUCAGCUGCUUAUUGAAACACCAUGAAGAUAAAGGUUUUUGUAUUUCUGAGGCUGUACCUGUGAAAAAAAGACAAAUACUUGAGCAUGUAUUGAGACGAUUAUUUCUACAUUCAACAUUCACAUGGGUGUUGUGUGUUUUGUACCGUCUCCCGCUCUUUGGGGCGUUUGUGUCGGUGGUCUAGGUACUGCUGGUUGAGCUCUCUGAUGUCAUGGAGGAAGACACGGCUUUUUUUCAGGUCAGCCAAGCGCAGUUUCAGUUCAGCGCUCUCCUUUUGUAGCUGCCACACCUGUCUCUCCGCUCUGUUGGACCAAUCACACAGUAUAAAAAAGUCAGUGUGAGCACCUGUAUGUGAAUAACCUUCAUGGAUAAGUUUUACUUUUAUUUUUUGGGGAAAGUACGUUAAUGAUUAUAUUUUAGCCUACAGACAUAAAAACCUUUCGAUACUCUGUGUCUGAGCUGCCUCUCACCUCAUCAGUUCAUGCUUGGCAUCCAACAUUCUCUGUGUCUUUGUGCGAAUCAAAGAACCCACCUGCAAAACACAAAACACACGCGCACGCACACAAAACCACCAUCAAAAACAACAGAGGAGAUUGUACAACCAAUCACGUCACGAUCUCUCAGCGUGUUGUGGUCCUACAACACGACCCCACCUAUAGCUCGGUAUAAUGUCUACAGUGUUCACCAUCAUGGUUUAGCAUGUUAACAUGCUAAGAUUUUCUUAGUACCAGACACAUAAGUACAUCCAAGACAGGUGGUUAUGCCUCUGAUGAAGACCACUCAUCCAGAGGAAGAACUCAGUUUAUUCUUUUAUUGUAAAACUCUAAAAAGCACAAAUGUCAGCUUCCCAAUGGCACUGAAAGAAAAGUUAUGGUAGCACCAGAGUCUUUUUAGGAUUCACUGUCUGGAAACCUGGAGUGUCUCUUUCCAUAGUUACCUUUGCAUUUUCUCUUUUUAGAACCCUGAGCUCCUUGUCUGACGAGAUCUGGAAAAGCAGAGGCACCAGAGAAUAUACAUGUAUUUGAUUAAAAUGAUGCCAUUAAUCGGAA